rnacentral:rRNA from 1 species
GAUGAACGCUGGCGGCGUGCCUAAUACAUGCAAGUCGAGCGAAGCGGGGACAGGUGAGUAACACGUAGAUAACCUCCUAUAAGACUGGGACAAAUUCGGGAAACCGGAGGUAAAACGGAUAAUUAUGGAUGGAUACACGCUGCAUUAGCUGGUGGGUAAGGUAACGGCUUACCAAGGCAACGAUGCAUAGCCGACCUGAGAGGGUGAUCGGCCACACUGGAACUGAGACACGGUCCAGACUCCUACGGGAGGCAGCAGUAGGGAAUCUUCCGCAAUGGGCGAAAGCCUGACAGAGCAACGCCGCGUGAGUGAUGAAGGUCUUCGGAUCGUAAAACUCUGUUAUUAGGGAAGCGGUACCUAAUCAGAAAGCCACGGCUAACUACGUGCCAGCAGCCGCGGUAAUUC